AUUGAACGCUGGCGGCAUGCUUUACACAUGCCAGUCGAACGGCAGCGGGGUAGUGCUUGCACUACUGCCGGCGAGUGGCGAACGGGUGAGUAAUAUAUCGGAACGUACCGAGUAAUGGGGGAUAACCAAUCGAAAGAUUGGCUAAUACCGCAUACGUCCUGAGGGAGAAAGCGGGGGAUCGCAAGACCUCGCGUUAUUCGAGCGGCCGAUAACUGAUUAGCUAGUUGGUGGGGUAAAGGCCUACCAAGGCGACGAUCAGUAGCGGGUCUGAGAGGACGAUCCGCCACACUGGGACUGAGACACGGCCCAGACUCCUACGGGAGGCAGCAGUGGGGAAUUUUGGACAAUAGGGGCAACCCUGAUCCAGCCAUGCCGCGUGUAUGAAGAAGGCCUUCGGGUUGUAAAGUACUUUUGCUAGGGAAGAAAAGGGAAGUGCUAAUACCACUUUUUGCUGACGGUACCUAAAGAAUAAGCACCGGCUAACUACGUG
rnacentral:rRNA from 1 species